rnacentral:rRNA from 1 species
UACGGAGGGUGCAAGCGUUAAUCGGAAUUACUGGGCGUAAAGCGUGCGUAGGCGGUUCGUUAAGUCUGUUGUGAAAGCCCCGGGCUCAACCUGGGAAUGGCAAUGGAUACUGGCGAGCUAGAGUGUGUCAGAGGAUGGUGGAAUUCCCGGUUGUAGCGGUGAAAUGCGUAGAGAUCGGGAGGAACAUCAGUGGCGAAGGCGGCCAUCUGGGACAACACUGACGCUGAGGCACGAAAGCGUGGGGAGCAAACAGG